CUAGCUGAUUACACUUCUGCUCCUUGUUAUAUCUGUGCAGUGGUUUUCCCAGACCUAGACGUCCUUGCAUUCACAAAAGUACAGUUGCGCGCGCGCUCAGUACAAACCCGAAAAAAGUCCCAGCACAACAGAACAUUUACAUCUGGUGCAGAGAUCACCAUAUUUUAGCACGGGGGAAAGUAACAUAAUUGGCUUAUCGAUAGGCUUGAUGCGUUUAUUUUGUUAUGCCUUUGACCUACUGCUACAUUAGAAAAUGGCGGAGUCGGAUGGUGGGGAUUUCGCCUCGAAUCGUCCGCAGAACAGUAUGGCUAACCAGAAUAGCACCCUGCGUUGCACGUUCUCAGCCCCAAGCCAUAGCGCCACUCUCCUGCAGGGCUUGUCGGUCCUGCGAGUCCAGGGGCAGCUCCUGGAUGUGGUGUUGGCCAUCAAUGAGGAGCGCUUCCAGGUUCACAAGGCAGUGCUGGCCUCCUGCAGUGACUACUUCAGAGCCAUGUUCACCGGAGGCAUGAGGGAGUCAAACAAGGAUACCAUUGAGCUGAAAGGAUUGUCCGCCCGCGGCCUGAAACAUAUAAUUGACUUUGCUUACAGCGCAGACGUCACACUUGACCUGGACUGCAUUCAGGAUGUACUGGGAGCAGCUGUCUUUCUCCAGAUGGUCCCAGUCGUGGAGCUCUGCGAGGAGUUCCUCAAGUCAGCCAUGAGCGUAGAGACCUGCCUGAACAUUGGCCAGAUGGCCACCACCUUCAACCUGUCCUCCCUCAAGGAGUCUGUGGACACCUUUACCUUCCGCAACUUCCUGCAGAUCGCUGAGGAGGAGGACUUCCUGCACAUUCCCAUGGAGCGCCUGGUCUUCUUCCUGCAGAGCAAUAAGCUGAAGAACUGCAGCGAGAUCGACCUGUUCCACGCUGCCAUCCGCUGGCUGCAGCACGACGAGGCCCGCCGGGCCGGAGCAGACAAAGUGCUCUGCCACGUACGAUUCCCCCUCAUGCGCUCCUCGGAGCUGGUGGACAGCGUGCAGACGGUGGACAUCAUGGUAGAGGACGUGCUGUGCAGGCAGUACCUCCUGGAGGCCUUCAACUUCCAGAUCCUUCCCUUUCGUCAGCACGAGAUGCAGUCCCCUCGGACCGUGAUCCGCUCCGAAGUAGUUUCGCUCAUUACCUUUGGUGGGACACCCUACACUGACAAUGAUCGCACUGUGAGCAGUAAGGUGUUCUAUCUUCCAGACAUUGCCGCGCGUCAGUUCAAGGAACUAACGGAGGCGGAGACAGGUUCCAGCCACGCCUGUGUAUCGGUGCUGGACAACUUUGUUUACAUAGUAGGCGGGCAGCACCUGCAGUACCGCAGCGGCGAAGGGGCGGUAAACGUCUGCUUUCGCUAUGACCCGCACCUGAGCCAAUGGCUGCGCAUCCAGCCGAUGCAGGAGGUGCGCAUUCAGUUCCAGCUCAACGUUCUUCAAGGACAACUCUACGCCACUGGGGGGCGCAACCGAUCUGGAAGUCUGUCGUCCGUAGAGUGCUACUGUCCCAAGAAAAAUGAGUGGACCUACGUGGAACCACUGAAACGCAGAAUCUGGGGCCAUGCAGGAACUCCCUCUGGUGACAAGCUCUACAUCUCAGGGGGUUACGGUGUCUCGGUGGACGAUAAGAAAGCCCUGCACUGUUAUGAUCCCACAUCUGACCAAUGGGACUUCAAAUCGCCCAUGAACGAGCCCAGAGUGCUUCAUGCUAUGAUCAGCGCCAAAGACCGUGUUUACUGCCUGGGCGGUCGCAUGGACCACGUGGACCGCUGCUUUGACGUCCUGGUGGUAGAGUAUUAUAAUCCAGAGAAUGACCAGUGGACCACUGUUAGCCCCAUGCGAACAGGGCAAUCUGAGGCAGGCUGCUGCUUGUUGGACAAAAAGAUCUAUAUCGUUGGAGGGUACAAUUGGCAUCUAAACAAUGUCACAAGCAUUGUGCAAGUGUACAACACAGAGGCUGAUGAGUGGGAGAGGGACUUGCACUUCCCUGAGUCUUUUGCAGGAAUUGCGUGUACGCCGAUCAUACUUCCACAAACCACCACGCAACGGUAAUCCCUCCGCCCAAAGUGACUGUGACAAUUUGAUUCCAUGGGCGAUUCCUCACAAAACUGAAAACAAAAAAAAUACCAUGAUUUGGGGGAUUUUCAGGCAAUUUAAUCCACAGAAGGGUCCUUUGGAAGAAGGAUGGAUGACACAUACAGUACCUUCAGAAAGUAUUCACUUUUUCCACAACUUGUUGUGUUACAGCCUGAAUUUAAAAUGGAUUAAAUUUAUUUGGAUUUUGUGUCACUGGCCUACACACAAUACCCUAUAAUGUUAAAGUGGAAUUGUGUUUUUUUUUCUUCAUUUUUAUAAAUGAACAAAAACCUGAAGUGUCUUGAGUCAAUAAGUAUUCAACCCCUUUGCUAUGACAAGCCUAAAUAAUUUCAGUAGUAAAUUUGCUUAACAAGUCACAUAAUAAGUUGCAUGUACUUAUGUGUGCGAUAACAGUGUUUAUCAUGAUUUUCGAAUGACUACUUCAUCUCUGUACCCCACACAUACAAUUAUCCAUAAGGUUCUUCAGUCGAGCAGUGAAUUUCAAACAGAGAUUCAACCACAAAUACCAGGGAGGUUUUCCAAUGCCUUGCAAAGAUGGGCACCUAUUGGUAGAUGGAUAAAAAAAAGCAGACAUUGAAUAUCCCUUUGAACAUGGUCAAGUUAUUAAUUACAUUUUGGAUGGUGUAUUAAUACACCCAGUCACUACAAAGAUACAGGGGUCCUUCGUAACUCAGUUGCUGGAGAGGAAGGGGUUUCACCAUGAGGCCAAUGGUGACUUGAAAACAGUUACAGAGUUUAAUGGAGAAAACUGAGGAUGGAUCAACAGCAUUGUCGUUACUCCAUAAUACUAACCUAAAUGACAGAGUGAGAAGAAGGAAGUCUGCACAGACUAAAAAUAUUCCAAAACAUAGAUCCUGUUUGCAAUAAGGCACUAAAGUAAAACUGCCCUAUACAAUUGGCAAAUAAAUUAACUUUAUGUCUUGAAUACAAGACAAUAUUGAAUGUUCCUGAGUGGCCUAGUUACAGUUUUGACUUAAAUUGACUUGAAAAUAUAUGGCAAGAGUUGAAAAUAGCUGUCUAACAAUGGUCAACAACCAACUUGACAGCUAGAAGAAGAAAAAUAAUCAUGUUCAAAUGUUUUUACAAUCCAGGUGUGCAAACCUCUUAGAGACUUACCCAGAAAGACUCACAGCUGUAAUCACUACCAAAGGUGAUUCUAACAUGUAUUGACUCAGGGGUGUGAAUACUUAAGUAUAUUUGAUAUUUCAUUUUCAAUAAAUGUGCCAAAAAAAUCCAAAAAUAUGUUUUCAAUUUGUCAUUAUGGGUUAUUGUGUGUAGAUGGGUGAGAGUUUUUUUAAAAUGUAAUACAUUUUAAAAUUCAGGCAGUAACACAACAAAAUGUGGAAUAAGUCAAGGGGUAUGAAUAGUUUCUGAAGGUACUGUAUUUGACAUUUGUAUCUUAACGCAUAAUUGAGAAAUAAUGAAUUGAAGUUGGAAUAUUUGUGACAUUUUCACCUUGACUAUGCCUCCUUUAAGACUCCAUAAUGUUUAAUCUGUUAAGAUCUGUUAAGAUGUUGCUAUAAUAUAGGCUACAGUGUAUUACUUCAGCUUCCAUCCUAUGGUUGAGGUCCAUGUGCUGCAUUAUAAUGAACUGUGGUUGAAAUUAUGUGAAGGCCAGAGCCAGUGUAAAUGUAUUAGUGGCCUUUUAAUGGAAAAUAAGUGUUAGCUCUAAGGACAGACUUGCUUUUAAAUAGAUAGAUACAUUAUUGACAUUUCAAUGUAGUUUGGGGUGUUUAAAAAAAUACUUAAAGCAAUACCCACAAUCAAAAACCUAUUAACAGAUUUGCAGGAUAACAUUUCUACAUUUGUGCCCUGCAUCAAGGAAGCAUGUUUCUAUUAAUUGGUUGGGUAAAUACAUUGAAAUAGUCCAUUUGCAGGGUUUAACUUAAAACAAAAUGAAAAUUACAACAGAUUUGAUGACAGAUUAGACUGCAUGGUACCCGUAAGAAUUGUUCACGUUGAAGUUACUCAAAUUAAAUUUUAUUGCAUAUAGCGGAUUAGAAUCUGUUCUUUUUCCUGCAGUCUGAACAGCCAAAAAGCACAUGGAAUUUGGUAUCUAACUAGCUUGUUAAUUGUUUACAAACAAAUUAGUGAAUGUGCUAGAAAGCUAAACAGAUACCUAGCUAGCUAGUUGACUGCUGUGGCUAGCCAAAAAGGACUUGUUUUGAAACUACUUGUCUUAACCUUUGAGGCUUAAAAAGUGUUCUUACACUAUGAUGUUGAACAUUCAAAUCAACUGGAAAACGUCCAUGGGAGGCAUUGUUGUCACCUUAGCUUGCUACAUAACUUCUGAUGCCAUUUCUGUCUAGCCGUCUACGCAUACAAUUUGAUGCAUACGUUUGAUAAAUCCAAAGUGUCCACCACACAGAAUGCACUGCAACUGCUUCUGCAACGCAAUGCUGCAAGGCAAACGCAGCGUUCCAUUGGAAAUGAAUGUACAGUACUGAUCAAAUGUUUGGACACACCUACUCAUUCAAGGGUUUUUCUUUAUUUUUACUAUUUUCUACAUUGUGGAAUAAUAGUGAAGACAUCAAAACUAGGAAAAAACACAUGGAAUCGUGUAGUAACCAAAAAAGUGUUAAACAAAUGAAAAUAUAUUUUAGAUUUUAGAUUCUACAAAGUAGCCGCCCUUUGCCUUGAUGACAGCUUUGCACACUCUUGGUAUUCCCUCAACCAGCUUUACCUGGAAUGCUUUUCCAACUGUCUUGAAGGAGUUCCUACAUAUGCUGAGCACUUGUUGGCUGCUUUUGCUUCACUCUGCGGUCCAACUCAUCCCAAACCAUCUCCAUUGGGUUGAGGUCGGGUGAUUGUGGAGGCCAGGUCAUCUGAUGCAGCACUCCGUCACUCUCCUUCUUGGUCAAAUAGCCCUUACACAGCCUGGAGGUGUGUUGGGUCAAUGUCCUGUUGAAAAACAAAUGAUAGUCAGACUAAGCGUAAACCAGAUGGGAUGGUGUAUCGCUGCAGAAUGCUGUGGUAGCCAUGCUGGUUAAGUGUUCCUUGAAUUGUGUUCCUUGAAUUCUAAAUAAGUCACCGAGAGUGUCACCAGCAAAGCUCCUCCAUGUCUCACAAAGACACAGUGGUUGGAACCAUCAGACCAAAGGACAGAUUUCCACUGGUCUAAUGUCCAUUGCUUGUGUUUCUUGGCCCAAGCAAGUCUCUUCUUGUUAUUGGUGUCCUCUAGUAGUGGUUUCUUUGUAGCAAUUAAAGCCUGAAGGCCUGAUUCACGCAGUCUCCCCCGAACAGUUGAUCUUGAGAUAUGUUUGUUACUUAAACUUCGGGGAACAUUUAUUUUGGCUACAAUUUCUGAGGCUGGUAACUGUAAUGAACUUAUCCUCUGCAGCAGAGGUAACUCUGGGUCUUCCUUUCCUGUGGCGAUCCUCAUGAGUGCCAGUUUCAUCAUAGAGCUUGAUGGUUUUUGCAACUGCACUUGAAGAAACUUUAAAAGUUCUUUAUAUGUUCCGAAUUGACUGACCUUCAUGUCUUAAAGUAACGAUGGACUGUCGUUUCUCUUUGCUUAUUUGAGAUGUUCUUGCCAUAAUAUGGACUUGGUCUUCUAUCUAUCUUCUAUAUAUCACCCCUACCUUGUCACAACACAACUGAUUGGCUCAAACACAUUAAGAAGGAAAGAAAAUCCACAAAUGAACUUUUAACAAGGCACACUUGUGAAUUGAAAUUCAUUCCAGGUGACUACCUCAUGAAGCUGGUUGAGAGAAUGUCAAGAUUGUUCCAUAGUUGUCAUCAAGGCAAAGGGUGGCUACUUUGAAAAAUCACACAUAUUUUGAUUUGUUGAACACUUAUUUGGUUACUACAUGAUUCCAUAUGUGUUAUUUCAUAGUUUUGAUGUCUUCACUUAUUCUACAAUGAAGAAAAUAGUAAAAAAAUAUAUAUAAUAAAAAAAUAACUGGAAUGAGUAGGUGUCUCCAAACUUUUGACUGGUACUGUACUUCUUGUGUACCAAAAUGCAAUGACACUGUCGGUGUGAUCGAGGCGUGAGGAAGCACGAGCACCACCACCAAUUAGCCUAUACCACUGACAAUGUCUGGAGUCAAUGGAGCAGGUGUGGGUAUAGUCCAAGCUAUCUUAUGUAACACGUAUUCCAAACUCUAUCUUAUGGCAGCUCAGUCGUUUUUGAAGUCCUGUGUGAGUGCAUGAGAACAUCCGUGGUUAGUGCUCCUUAUGUAGGAAUUCUGUAGGCUUCUUGCAUUUUCUCUAAAAUAUUAUACUGUGUAUAAUUAAUACUGUAGAUCAGAAUGAAGUGAUUUUGUCUCGUCCAACUCUUGCAGUGUUUGGUUGUGAUGAACAAGUGGGGGUGGGAGGGUUCUGGUCAAGUGGCCAGAUUCGAAGGCCAAGGUCCAUUGGUGUCACCCCCUUCUCCUAGCUCUUACACAAAAGGACUACUAUGGUGUGAGAAAUAGGGUGAUGCCUUCACUUAUCUUCAAAUAGACAUAUGCCAACUGCUUUCACCUAUGCAGUCCUGCCAGAACUGUGAAGCCCAAAGAGUUAAAGGCAAGGGGCUGAAAUUCAUGUAAGGGGGACCUCCUGAUGGAAAGAACAAGCACAGCACACAAGCAGUGAGGAUAUGUGAUUAUUGUCCUGUGUAUUUCUCCCUUUAGUAUAGUGCAUAUGGUAAAACGUUAGUUUAAUGUGGAGUAGGCUAUUUGUGAGACUUUCAGUAUUGUAUGCACAACUGAUUGUUAAUGUAUUUUACUCCUUGUAGACUAUGUUGACAGUGAUGAGACAAGCUUAUAAUGCAACAUCUUAUUUGGAAGCACAACGUGUCCCUCGUUGAAAUAUGUUUUGGUUUUGAAAAUGUCACCUGUUUGCCUCACCUGUUCUGAUGUUUUGUAUGUCCAACUCAAAAGCACAUAUAAAGCACUUAAAAGCUAACUAAGUGGAGUCCACUGUUAUCAAAGGAGACUGUAGACUUCUUCUGCCAUUAAAAUCCUUGGGUGGGCCACCUAAGUGUUUUUUCCAGGACUCCUAAGUAAAAAAUUUUCAAUUAAACGGUGUAAAAAAAAGCAUUUUAUCUAUUUUUUAAAACAUGUAUUUUCAGAAUGGAAAAAAGCUUUCAGUCUAAACUUAAACGAUUAAAACCAGAUAAGUUAUGUAGAAAGAUAAUGGACCUAUAUAUUUUUCAAUUAUAUCAUAUUUGAAAACUAACAAUCACCAAAAUAAAACCUAGACAGUCUGGGAUAAUUGGAAAUUCUAAAAACAAUUCAUCUAUCCAUAUUGAUUUUGUUAAUAUGUUUGUGCAAAAGAACACAGCAUUAUCCAUGGCAAAAUGCAUAGAAUUGCAGGAAAUGUGCAAUAAAACUGCUAAAUUGUCACUCCCUCCAUGGCAUAAUAUGUAGAAUCGCAGAGAUACAUUUCUCUGUGGAGAAAUUGGUUUAAAAAGGCCUCUACACCACCUAAGCCCCCUUUAAAAAAAAAAAACCUUAAAGCUGAGAUCCGCGAUAGGCGAAGCAGCCGCCCCUAGAUGCAUUUGUUAUCAGUGUCUGUUGUUUGAAGUAAUGUCUGUUGUUGUAAUAUCGCAAACUGAUGUGUUCAAUUUCACCGCUAUGGAUUCCAGCUUUAAUUAAAGGUGUUACAUGAACUGAAAACAGCAUUCAGGUGUUGUAAAUGAAUGUAUCAUUUUUCAAAGAACAACAAAAAUCUUUGUGGGAUGGCAGUUUAAUGUAAAUUGAAGACAAAUGAAACCUUAUUCCCAAUCGUAGAAAAUUCUACUUGACCCCACAGUGAAACUGUGAAAUACAAGACCGUACCAGAAUGUGUUUAAUCUUAUGAGCUCUUCCUCUUUCUUAUACAGUACUGUAAUACAGAUGUGAUAUGUAGAUUGUACAAUUUUUUUUGUGAUCAGCAUACUAAUCCUUUUGUCAUUUGUGUGUUUUUUUACAGAAAAUUCUAUUGAAUAAGAUGUUGAGAAAUGCCCUUGCUCCAGAGAUUCAUGCUUUAAAUGUGUGUCAGAGGACAACAUGCACUUAUGAGAUUAUUCAUAAUUAAUGUAUGGUUUAUAUGAGGUGCUAUUUUUGCCUUUCUAUACUUGACCAUACCCUGUAUUUAGCUAAAUACUCUGCAUUUAAACUCCAACAUCACUGUAAAUGUCACAAAGACAUGAAUCCCAAUAUUUCCUGUCAGUCAAUUAUAGGCCUACUGUAUCUGGACAACUGAUCAAUUUGGUAUAGGCCAUUACAGUUUAUCUCUGUUCAUCAUGACCCUGAUACAAUUCCAAGGAUUUGAUUGAUCCAUUACUGGUAUUUCAACUUUGGUAGAGCAAUAUCUUUAUUUGUACCAAAAAAAAUGUAUGAUUAGUAAAUAUUCGAAAAAGUAGCAUGCACAUAUAUGCCACGUGUCCUUCAUACUUUCUGUAAUCUACUUCAAAGGAUACUGUGGCGAAUUUGUAAUCGUAUUGUGUGUCUGUGAAUUUGCCAUCCAUGGUUUUGACAGAACAUGUGUGGGGUCCCCCUCUGGUGAUAACUUGUUCACUCGGUUUUUGUAGUUCGGAUAUUGAGUGGAUUUUAAUAAAACUUCAAGAAAUAGAUUGUUUUCCAGUUUUUUAAAAAUUUGUCAACCUAACCAUUCCUAUAAAUCGUCAUAUGAUGCAAAGCAUCGUCGUCGUCGUCACAGUUUUUGCUUACUGAAAGUGCUGUAUCUUCUUGAAAACUUGACUGCUGACAUUACAUGUCUUGUUUUUUUGGAUUGUACUAAUGACCAAUAUACUAAAAUAUAGUUUUAAGUGAACUAUCCUAUUAAACAUAAUUGUCCUUUGACAUCUUUUAGUGCGUUCCCACGCGUAGUUCUGAGCUAUAGUUCGAUUAUUUGUUCAAUUGUAUUUUCUUAAUUUGGUCCAGGUGGUUUCACAUUGCCUAUCCUGGUAUAUCCUUGUCUCCCCACAAUUUACAUCCAUAAAUUCGCUGCUACCCACAUAAUGUUCAACAGAUAUCAAGUUAUGGUACUGUUUGCAUGUCAUCAAAUGCUUGCAGUCAAACAAUCAAUACAGCACGCCUCUGGUUAUUUUCUGGUAUUUGGUCCGGACUGCGUUCUCAUCUGCAGUGAACCGCACCAAGGUACGAACGGAAUCUGACUGAGACCAACCACGGUGCGCUCGAGUGCGGAUAGUGUUCAGACCAGUCCAAACGAACCGAACCGCUCCAAACUCAUUUGCUGUGAAAGCCCACAGAGCCCAACAUACAAAUCAAAUACACACGCGGGCUCAUGAGUUUGUGAGAACUUCCGUCAAAGUCGGAAUCGAAAUUUCCUGAUCCAGAAAGAGUUGUAGCCUAAUCAAAAACAAUGGCAACAAAUCCUCCAAGUCUAACCGGCUUCCUUGCAGGUAACUCAACUCAUAUCCUGAACUUGUAAAUUCACAUCCUUGUCACGCUCUCCAGAAGGAUCACAUCAACAUGAUAUGUGUGGAUAAAAGCCCAAUAGUUGAUGUGAUUAUAGCAUGUAUGCUGUAAUUAGUCUGAUGCACUGAUUCACUUCCUGUCAUCAAAUGACAGCCCCAAUUACAGGGCUUCAAGGGUAAACUGAGAGCCAAAGACUGCAACCAUGAUGGAAUAAGAGAGUACGCAUUGUUUCCAUUCAUUUAAGACUGAAGCAUACCCUGAAUAUCUGGAUCUACAGAACAUAAGGGGCAUGGACUCAUUUUGACGUAAGACCAUUUUUGAAAUAUAGAAACUUCUGUUGAUUUUGGAGUGAACUGACACUUUAAUGAUCUGGCAAGAGGCAUAACAGUUUCACGAGCUACUUAAAAAUGGCACUUAAAGAGCUGCGGUCAAAUAUAUUGGCACCCUUGAACGAUUCCAUUUAUUCUCAUCAGCUGAAAUUGAAGAAAACUGUUGGCGUUAACAAGUGUUUUUGAUUUAAAGCUGCACGGGACCAUGAAACGAAACAUCCAAACUGAAAUUAAGAUUUAUUACAUAAAUGUAAAAAAAUGGCUUGGACUAAAUGAUUUAAAAUUGAAAUGAGUUUGUUUGGAGGAAAGUGAUUCUUGUUAAGGUUGCAAUAAGUUCCAGGUGCCUCAAGAGUAAAAAAUAAAUAACAUUCAACCAGUUUUUUUUUAAAGAGAACAGAACCUUCUGCUCCAUUGUAAAGUGCAAGGGUGCCAAUAUAUUUGACUGCAACUGUACUCCGUAUUGGCAGUAAAACUUGACUUGACGGUCGAGAGCUUACUGUCAGUUGCAUGGCAUGACUGAUGUUUUAAGUGGUCCCUAUUGUUGAUGCUGGUUUAUUGCAAAUGAUUCAACAUUAUGUUGUUGACUUCAGCAAUAUGAACUAUGGCUCGUUAGCUAACCUAAAUUGAGGCAUGUGCCAUCAUGACUGCCGAAUCAAGUCUAAACUGAUAUCAGUUACUGUGACUGCAUAAGACAUAUUUUAAGUAAGGUUUAUGACACGUUUUUAUGUUGUAUGUGUUCUUAUCCUGUUGCUUUUUCACUUUAUUUGUGGCCAACUGCCUUGUGAAUGUGAACAGUGGCUGUUCUGUCAAUGCUGACUGUUGUACCCUCAAUAAUAUGAUAUUUUUUUUUAAAGCCCGUAACAGUGUGGAAGUGUAUUCCUUAUUUUGUAAUGCAAAACCAGAAAGGGCUUAUUCCAUUGCAGCUUGUUUUCCAAUCAUGUUAUAAAAAAAAAAAGGAAUAGCACUCAAUGUAUAUUUAUUUGUCAAUAGAUAUAUUUAUUUGUCAAUAGAUAUACCAUACUGCUCUGCAUAUGCAUGGGAAAUGGCAAUCAAAAACGGUGACGUGGACUCCUGUUUUGACAGUAAUUAUUACAAUACACUGACUGAAGUGAGCAUGAAAGGAAUUCAGCCUUGUGGGAAUUGGUGAGCAGUAUCUUGAUUCUCACUAAGCUUACUGUCACUGCCAGAGUACCUGUCCCCAUGCAUUCUCUCAACUAAAGGUGAAUGAACGGGAUAAUUAUAUUUUCUGUCCCAUAAUUUGAAAUGGAUUAAUAUUAAUCUAAAUCAUUUCCUCCUGUAGUACCGUGCAGUUGAAGUUGGGUACCCUAAAAUGCCACUUUUGGCAAGUAUUUCCAAUUCAUAAUGUAAAGAAAAUCUCUCUUAUAGGGAAUUCCCUGGUCAGCUUUAAGUGGGUAUCACAUAUUUAACUAUUGUCCUGUAAAUCAUAUUCUGAGAUGUAAAGUAAUUAUUUGUUUCUAUGUGAAACUCCUUUUAUGUGACCCCUUUGUAAGAUACACUGAAUGUGGGAGGCAUUUCUUCUCUGUACAUAGUCUCGAUUUUGCAGAAUAUAUCAAUGAAAAAUGUCAUUUCACCAAAGGUUUACUAAGUGUGGACAUGCAUGACGUUUGAACUAUUCUAUAUUUUGUUGUCCUUGUUAUGUUGUUUAUAUUUUGUAAUCUGUAUUUCUGUAUGUGUUUUUAAAAGAUCAUUUUGAA